CAAUGGGGUGUUUUGCCCAUGAAAUUACUGUUCUGAUUAGGAGGAAUAUGUCUGUCAUUAGACUUUCAAAUGCGAUCCUGUUGCAGCACAGCACUGGCAAUCCGGCCCAGAUGACUCUGGCGAUAUUUCUGUUCCUGAAGGAAACAGCAAGUGCAAAUCGGGUAAUUUUAUACGCUGGCUGGGGAAGGGGGCUCACGCUGAUGGAUGCUGUUGGGUUUGCAGCAAUAACAGCUGGGGCCAGGGCACGCAGGGGAUCUGCCAGGACAUGGCUCGGGCUGCGGUUGUGGCUCUGGCUCUGCAGACACACGUAUGUGCAAUGCUCCUCCUUCUAGCAGGGGGCCUGGGCUCAGCUGCCAGGGAUGCCCUGCUGCAGGUGUGAGCCUGAAAUUCCUCUGGAGCCGGCGCAGGCAGUGCCGCGCUCCCCCAAAACCCUGCCAGUGCUUGGCCUCCAAAAUGCAGCGCCUUGUAAUUGGGAGCAGAUGCUGCAGGUUCCUGCAAGAGCAAAGGCACGGCAGAAAUCCCCUUAGAGAGAGAGAAGCAGAGAGGAUCAGAGGCACGGAUCUCAGGGCUGGGGUGUUUGCCUGGCUGUGGCACGGGGUGCAAGCAGAGCACGGGGCACCCAGCUGUGGUAUGGGGUGCACGACACCAUACCCAGUCCUCCUGAGCGUGUUGGGUUGGAGCUCAGAGGCACAACGGGACCCCAAACUGUUUUGGGGUUCCUGCUCCAUAACGGUGAAUCCAUCUGCGAGGGGAAGGUGCUGGGGGCAAGGAGCAUCCACGGCUGCUGGGGGGCUCAGGGUGGCCUCUUGCUGCUGGUUUUCCUUGGGGAAGGGGCGCAGGAUGAGGCCAGGAGCACAGGGAUGCAGCACUGCCAUGGGGGCUCUGCUGGGGCCAGGCACUGCUGCACUGCCCCACAAGAAGGGUCUCAGCCUGAGGUCAUCCUGGAGGGUACUGGGUGCUGUGGGUGGAUAAGGAGGUAGAAGGCACAGCAAAAAAUCAACAUCUCCAAGUCUGGUAGCUCUGCACAAUGUGCCGGGGCACGGGAUGCUGCUUGGCAGCCACAGGGGAGCUGUUUAUUCCUGCCCAUUUCCAACCAGAUGAGAAAAGCACUUUGAGCACAGAGGGAGGACGGGGAGCUGGAGCUGGGAGCAAGGACAACCCCCUCCCCGCCCUGCUCCUGCCCCAGCCGGAGCCUCUCUCACCAAUAAAACGUCUCUUCCUGCAGCCUGGAGAGUUUUUUCCGGAGUUCAGCUGAUAUAAAUUCCCACUGGAGAGUUUGAGGCUGGCAAUCAGCUUACUCAUUCUCCGCUUAUCAUCACAAACCUCUGACCUUCAAACAUCGCUGGUGCGGUGCCCGGCUGAGCAAACUCAAAUCGAACCAGCUGGUGAUUCACCGCGCUCCCGUGUCGCGACACGCGGCCUCUGCUCGCUCCCUGCAGGUUCCCGACCUCGUCCCACGUCUGGUGCUUGUCCCACACCAGUGGUGCUGGGCCCUGGGUGGUGCUGGAGCACGGUCGGGGUUCCCACAUGGUUAUAGGUGAUAGGGCAGGGAUGCAGCACGGGCAAGGAUGCUGAGCUGGUUGGGGUCCCCCAGGUGUCCCCAGCCUGUGCCUGACAUCUCCGGGGACAUCUCUCCCUCUGCAGGAGAACCAGGGUUGGGUUUUGAUGAGACCGAUGCCUUUUCCAGGCAGCAUUUUCUGCUCCCCCUGGCCCGUCGGAUGCUGGCGACUGACUUUUUGCUCACUUUUUCCUAGAAAGAGCCAUCCUCACGGCCUCUUCCAAAGGCAACCCGUGCGUGCCAAAGCCACCUCCGCUGCCCGGAGCCCUUGGUGCUCGGAGCAGGGAUGCUGAGCCCGCAGGGGGAUGAAACAGGGGGGCUGCAAGGCUGGAGGGGGGGCGCAGCCACUCCUGCAGGAGGGCCGUGGGAGGCAACUGGUGUGCCAGCAGGCGCGGAGGAAUGCGGCAGCAGGGCGGGGGGAGGACAGAAAUUAAUAAUUAUCCAAAGCGCACCCCUAUCACUGUUCAUCGAAAUUUGCCCAUACUUCAUUCCAGCCUCCUUUCUUCUUCUUGCCUCCAGGCUGACGGAGCAUCGGUUUCAGAUUCUGCCUCACACUUGGCUGCCUCCAGCACACGGGAAGGACCAGGGGUGAUGCUCUGCUGGCAGUCCCGGCGUGCAGCGCAGCAAGAGGCCGGCAAGAGCAUGCUGGAAGCUGUAGUCCAGGUGCCCCGGCAUCGCCAGCGCCGCACUGAGCUGCUCACAGCCCUCCUGCUCCUCCUCCUCCUCCUCCUUCCUCACAAACACCGCCUCUGCUUGCUAAUCCCUCCCAGGCUUUGCAGCCUUCGAGUGACAAAAUGCAAAUGGUGGGGGAGCAGAGGCAGCAAUUGCACAGCGAGGAGAGAUAAAGCAAAUAUCCGAACACCGAGCCGCCUUCAGCGCAGCUCGCUGGCGCCUGAGCGUUCCUCCAGGAGCGCCUCAGCUCGGAAAAUGUUUGUCGUCUCCCAUCAGGUGAAUCCGUGGGCACGGUGUGGAGUAAAUGUUAAUUAAACUAGCACGGAGCUGCUUAGCAGUGGGCCAUCCCAGGCAAUCCCUUCUGCUGUCGACAGAGCUUGGUGAGAGCGUGCGAGGGAAGACUUUGACCCCGAGCAACUGCUGCAAAGGAAGCAGAAGCAAUUUUGCUGCCAUCAGUGGCAUUUCCCUGGAUUUCUUCUGGCCUUGCCAAAAGCAGAAUGUGUUGUCGAGCCUGCAGGAAACGAAGUUUUCUUUAUUUUGCAGGAGACGCUCUGCUCUAAUUGCUGUCUUCCCGUGCCCGAGCAGCCGGCACCGCUCACCCCCAGCGGGGCCGGGGCUGGCCGAGGGACACCGCUGCUCCUGGGUCCUGCACUGAGGUGCUGGGGUUUUCCUUCUCUGGUGAGCAAAGGAAACCCUGGCAAAGUGAUAAGAGCAUCAGUGAUGAAGUGUUAAACCAUGAGUGAUUCCUCGGGUCCUGUCCCAGCGAAGGAUGCACCUGAAAAGGAUUCAUCCCCCCGGGGGAAGCAGCAGCUCCAAGGAUCUUCCUCUCACCCACCCCUCUGGGUGUAAGGACUUGUUAUAAAUAAUACUCGAGCCUAAAGGAGGUGAAUGAGGACUUUUAUGGAUUUAACACGAAACUCUAACAUCUUUUUCCACUAAAGCUUCUGUCAAUAAAUCAUUUUUUAAUUAUCAGCUUAAAUUAUCAGCUAAGCACGUCUAAAUGAUCUCUGGAGUGAUUUCUGAUGUAAGACGUUCAGAGCACCAUUAAAGAGGUCUCAGAAGAAA